ensembl:ribozyme RNaseP_nuc Nuclear RNase P
GGCCUCCUAUGGCCCUAACCAGGUUCUCACCGAGUAGGGAGGUGAGUUUCCAGAGAGCAGGGCUCCACACCUAGGCAGACUGGGCAAGAGAGGCUCCAAGUAGAGAGAUUAAAUCCCUCACCAGAGCUUAGAACAAAAUGAUGACUCAUUUUGCUCAGUGAAUGGCUACCCUUCUUGCCAGGAGAA